rnacentral:lncRNA from 1 species
UAUAUAUAGGAAAGGGUCUCAUUUGGCCAAGACAUCACAAGCAAUAUACAAGUCCAGCGCACAUAGCCUUGUAAACAUUUUAUUGAGCAAUACAAAUGCGUUCCAGUUUCUGAAUCCAGCAACAGAUUUGAGUGUGAGGCUGACUUAGGGCUAAGAGAGUGCGAAUUUCGCGUCUAAGGCUGCACGACACAACGUGGGACAAAACCGGGCCGUGACACUAGUAAGCAUUUCUUUGAUCCAAUAGGAUCUGAAAAUCCUAAAAUUAUAAUUUUACUCUUUAUGCCUUUCCUAAUGUUGUCAGCUAUUUUGAGUUGGAAAAUACUAUCUAUUUUGCUAUUUGAUUUGUCAUUAAUCAUGAAAUUAUCAAAAUACACUAGAAAUACAUAAAAUACUCAAAUUAUAACAAAACAUACAUAAUUUAAAGGACUUGAACACGUAACAAUAGAAAUGUUAGUGAGACUUGGAGCACAAAAUAAUAAUUUUACCCUUUAUAAAUAUGUAUUCUCCACUACUUAACAACAUUAGAAAAAGAAUACUUGAAGAGCAUUGUUGAUAUGGUUUUGUCCAAAGACUUUCAGGUAUGUUUAAAGUUCUAAAAGUUGGAUAAAAUUAUUGAGUACUUGUAAACCAUUUUGAUCAAUAUCCGCUUUUUGCAAGAACCAUGGAGACUUAUCUAGUGUGUAGAUAUUUUCUAUGUACUUAAUGUGGGUAGGUGGUAGGUGGUAGUUGUGCAAUAACUUACUCCUUUGUACUCUAUAUAUAGGAAAGGGUCUCAUUUGGCCAAGACAUCACAAGCAAUAUACAAGUCCAGCGCACAUAGCCUUGUAAACAUUUUAUUGAGCAAUACAAAUGCUUUCCAGUUUCUGAAUCCAGCAACAAAUUUGAGUGUGAGGCUGACUUAGGGCUAAGAGAGUGCGAAUUUGGCGUCUAAGGCUGCACGACACAACGUGGGACAAAACCGGGCCGUGACACUAGUAAGCAUUUCUUUGAUCCAAUAGGAUCUGAAAAUCCUAAAAUUAUAAUUUUACUCUUUAUGCCUUUCCUAAUGUUGUCAGCUAUUUUGAGUUGGAAAAUACUAUCUAUUUUGCUAUUUGAUUUGUCAUUAAUAAUGAAAUUAUCAAAAUACACUAGAAAUACAUAAAAUACUCAAAUUAUAACAAAACAUACAUAAUUUAAAGGACUUGAACACAUAACAAUAGAAAUGUUAGUGAGACUUGGAGCACAAAAUAAUAAUUUUACCCUUUAUAAAUAUGUAUUCUCCACUACUUAACAACAUUAGAAAAAGAAUACUUGAAGAGCAUUGUUGAUAUGGUUUUGUCCAAAGACUUUCAGGUAUGUUUAAAGUUCUAAAAGUUGGAUAAAAUUAUUGAGUACUUGUAAACCAUUUUGAUCAAUAUCCGCUUUUUGCAAGAACCAUGGAGACUUAUCUAGUGUGUAGAUAUUUUCUAUGUACUUAAUGUGGGUAGGUGGUAGGUGGUAGUUGUGCAAUAACUUACUCCUUUGUACUCUAUAUAUAGGAAAGGGUCUCAUUUGGCCAAGACAUCACAAGCAAUAUACAAGUCCAGCGCACAUAGCCUUGUAAACAUUUUAUUGAGCAAUACAAAUGCUUUCCAGUUUCUGAAUCCAGCAACAGAUUUGAGUGUGAGGCUGACUUAGGGCUAAGAGAGUGCGAAUUUCGCGUCUAAGGCUGCACGACACAACGUGGGACAAAACCGGGUCGUGACACUAGUAAGCAUUUCUUUGAUCCAAUAGGAUCUGAAAAUCCUAAAAUUAUAAUUUUACUCUUUAUGCCUUUCCUAAUGUUGUCAGCUAUUUUGAGUUGGAAAAUACUAUCUAUUUUGCUAUUUGAUUUGUCAUUAAUCAUGAAAUUAUCAAAAUACACUAGAAAUACAUAAAAUACUCAAAUUAUAACAAAACAUACAUAAUUUAAAGGGCUUGAACACAUAACAAUAGAAAUGUUAGUGAGACUUGGAGCACAAAAUAAUAAUUUUACCCUUUAUAAAUAUGUAUUCUCCACUACUUAACAACAUUAGAAAAAGAAUACUUGAAGAGCAUUGUUGAUAUGGUUUUGUCCAAAGACUUUCAGGUAUGUUUAAAGUUCUAAAAGUUGGAUAAAAUUAUUGAGUACUUGUAAACCAUUUUGAUCAAUAUCCGCUUUUUGCAAGAACCAUGGAGACUUAUCUAGUGUGUAGAUAUUUUCUAUGUACUUAAUGUGGGUAGGUGGUAGGUGGUAGUUGUGCAAUAACUUACUCCUUUGUACUCUAUAUAUAGGAAAGGGUCUCAUUUGGCCAAGACAUCACAAGCAAUAUACAAGUCCAGCGCACAUAGCCUUGUAAACAUUUUAUUGAGCAAUACAAAUGCGUUCCAGUUUCUGAAUCCAGCAACAGAUUUGAGUGUGAGGCUGACUUAGGGCUAAGAGAGUGCGAAUUUGGCGUCUAAGGCUGCACGACACAACGUGGGACAAAACCGGGCCGUGACACUAGUAAGCAUUUCUUUGAUCCAAUAGGAUCUGAAAAUCCUAAAAUUAUAAUUUUACUCUUUAUGCCUUUCCUAAUGUUGUCAGCUAUUUUGAGUUGGAAAAUACUAUCUAUUUUGCUAUUUGAUUUGUCAUUAAUCAUGAAAUUAUCAAAAUACACUAGAAAUACAUAAAAUACUCAAAUUAUAACAAAACAUACAUAAUUUAAAGGACUUGAACACGUAACAAUAGAAAUGUUAGUGAGACUUGGAGCACAAAAUAAUAAUUUUACCCUUUAUAAAUAUGUAUUCUCCACUACUUAACAACAUUAGAAAAAGAAUACUUGAAGAGCAUUGUUGAUAUGGUUUUGUCCAAAGACUUUCAGGUAUGUUUAAAGUUCUAAAAGUUGGAUAAAAUUAUUGAGUACUUGUAAACCAUUUUGAUCAAUAUCCGCUUUUUGCAAGAACCAUGGAGACUUAUCUAGUGUGUAGAUAUUUUCUAUGUACUUAAUGUGGGUAGGUGGUAGGUGGUAGUUGUGCAAUAACUUACUCCUUUGUACUCUAUAUAUAGGAAAGGGUCUCAUUUGGCCAAGACAUCACAAGCAAUAUACAAGUCCAGCGCACAUAGCCUUGUAAACAUUUUAUUGAGCAAUACAAAUGCUUUCCAGUUUCUGAAUCCAACAACAGAUUUGAGUGUGAGGCUGACUUAGGGCUAAGAGAGUGCGAAUUUCACGUCUAAGGCUGCACGAUACAACGUGGGACAAAACCGGGUCGUGACACUAGUAAGCAUUUCUUUGAUCCAAUAGGAUCUGAAAAUCCUAAAAUUAUAAUUUUACUCUUUAUGCCUUUCCUAAUGUUGUCAGCUAUUUUGAGUUGGAAAAUACUAUCUAUUUUGCUAUUUGAUUUGUCAUUAAUCAUGAAAUUAUCAAAAUACACUAGAAAUACAUAAAAUACUCAAAUUAUAACAAAACAUACAUAAUUUAAAGGACUUGAACACAUAACAAUAGAAAUGUUAGUGAGACUUGGAGCACAAAAUUAUAAUUUUACCCUUUAUAAAUAUGUAUUCUCCACUACUUAACAACAUUAGAAAAAGAAUACUUGAAGAGCAUUGUUGAUAUGGUUUUGUCCAAAGA